rnacentral:rRNA from 1 species
CGCAAUGGGCGAAAGCCUGACGCAGCGACACCGCGUGUGGGAAGACGGCCUUCGGGUUGUAAACCACUGUGGCGAGGGAUGAAUUUUGACAGUACCUCGCUAGAAAGCACCUGCUAACUACGUGCCAGGAGCCUCGGUAAUACGUAGGGUGCAAGCGUUAUCCGGAUUUACUGGGCGUAAAGCGUCCGUCGGCGUCUCAGCAAGUCUUUUGUUCAAGCCUGGGGCUCAACUCCAGAAAAGCAAGGGAAACUACUGAGAUUGAGUUUGUUUGGGGGAACUAGAAUUCUCGGUGGAGGGGUGAAAUCCGUAGAUAUCGAGAGGAAUACCAGUCGCGAAGGCGGGUUCCUAAAACAAUACUGACGCUCAGGGACGAAAGUCU